rnacentral:rRNA from 1 species
GCUUACGGCCACACCGCUUUUGGUUAAAGCCCGAUCCCGUUUGAUCUCGGAAGCUAAGAUAGGUUGUGCCUGUUUAGUACUUGGAUGGGAGACCGCCUGGGAAUACCAGGUGCUGUAAGCU